AUAUAAUUAAAUCAAGAUGUGCAUGUGUGAUGGAGUAAAUGAUAGUGAUGGUGAAAAUGCAUAAGUGAUAAAAUUUAGUUCUCAUUGCUCCUCAUAUUGCUAUGUCUCCUCCUCUUCUUUGAUCUUUGCUUUGGGAGAACAUGGGCUAUCUCUUUUUCUCUUUUUUUUCAGGUGGGUAGUAGAUACCCCUAAUUCUACUGUCGGACACUUGUCCAUUUUUUCCGCUCAAGUGGGCAUCUUUGUACCCCUAAUUCUACUUCGGACACUUGUCCAUUUUUACCUCUCGUCUCACUCUUUUUCUUUCUUUUCCGAGGUUCCGGGCACUUGCCCCUUUUUAUUUCCUCGCAUAUUUUUGCAUAACCCAUGCCUCUUCUACAUUGAAUCUUUUUAGAGAGAGAGAAUAACAGUACUUGGGACAGUGAGUGAUAAUAUUUUUUAGCAAUUUUAAUGAUGAAUGCUGUGGUAGAUGCGUGCAAGUGAAUAUCUUAAUUUAACCACAUGAAAAGCUUCCUAAGGGUCAACACAGCUCGAUCAAACUCAAUGUAAAUAUAGUAAAAGAUGUUAUAGCAAGUAUGGCUGUGGUAGGUAGUUUUGUUAUGCUAGGAACUCAUCAUGUGACUUGUAAGUUUUCAAAAUAAAUCUCCAGAACUUAGUGUAGUAGGAACAAGAUAAACAGUAGCUCAACUUUAUAUCAUGCCUUUCUCUUACCUAG
rnacentral:lncRNA from 1 species